UUUAAAUCCAUCUGAAGAGUCUUUUAAUGUGUAUCUUUCAUCUGCACGCAAUGUGGUGGAACAUGCAUUUGGACGACUCAAAAGCAGAUGGAGAUGUCUAUCUAAAAGAUGCGACAUUAGCUACAAGUUUAUGCCAAAGGUUGUCGCAACAUGCUGUGUGCUGCACAAUAUAUGUGAGAAAAGGAAAGAUGUAUUUCUAGGAAGAUGGUCAAAUGAAACUUAUGUUGCCCAACCACAGCCGGAACGUAGAUCAGCGGCCAGCAAUUGCAGUGAAGCAGUACAAAAUAGGGAGGCAUUGAGAAUCUUUUUGGAGGAAAAUUUUCCUUUGAGAAAAAGUUCAUUGUAGUUACUUCCCUAUUUGAUUCUCAAUGAGACUAACAAUAUUACUUUUUUGAACAUUUUUUCACCUGUCAGUUGCAAUUAAUUCAGCAGGAUUUGUUCACUAAUCUUAACGAACUUGCCUUUUACUUUAGAUGACUCUGCACAUAAGUGGAACAUUGUUUUGGUUUUUAUAUUUAUUGUAGCAUGCACCAAUUUCAAUUUGUCAUUUUGAGAAUAAACGCAUUUUCGACACUUGAG